rnacentral:tRNA from 1 species
UGGAUCACCUCCUAACAGGGAGACAACAAAAUGUUUUGAUAUAAAUUUUGUCACCUUAGGUCGAUCGGUAUCUCAGAUUUUCAUAUAUGGAAAUUUCAGUUUCUAAGUUUUUUCUAGGUCACCCAUUUUUCCUGGGCCAUUAGCUCAGGUGGUUAGAGCGCACCCCUGAUAAGGGUGAGGUCCCUGGUUCAAGUCCAGGAUGGCCCAUAUCUCUAUAUACUGGGGGUAUAGCUCAGUUGGUAGAGCGCCUGCUUUGCAAGCAGGAUGUCAGCGGUUCGAGUCCGCUUACCUCCACUGAAUACCACCUUUCCAAAGAGUAAGGAAUAUUUGGGAUCGAUAUCAAUCUGAAUGAAUCUAGCUUCCUAUUAAUUAAAUUAAUUAAUAAGAUGCUGGACUCAAUGAAUUUUUAAAUUCUUUGUUUUCAGAGAACCUUGACAACUGCAUAGAUUUUUUCAAGACAAUAAGCAUCUUUUAAGAUGCAGAUUUAUUAUUGGUGCUUAUGCAUUAAUAACAAUUCUAUUGAGCUGAUGCUUCAAUUUUUGAAGUUAUUGGUCAAGCUACAAAGGGCUCACGGAGGAUACCUAGGCACACAGAGGCGAUGAAGG